rnacentral:rRNA from 1 species
UUCGCCCUUAGAGUUUGAUUCUGGCUCAGGACGAACGCUGGCGGUGCGCCUAACACAUGCAAGUCGAACGAGCGAGAGAGAGCUUGCUUUCUCGAGCGAGUGGCGAACGGGUGAGUAACGCGUGAGGAACCUGCCUCAAAGAGGGGGACAACAGUUGGAAACGACUGCUAAUACCGCAUAAGCCCACGACCCGGCAUCGGGUAGAGGGAAAAGGAGCAAUCCGCUUUGAGAUGGCCUCGCGUCCGAUUAGCUAGUUGGUGAGGUAAUGGCCCACCAAGGCGACGAUCGGUAGCCGGACUGAGAGGUUGAACGGCCACAUUGGGACUGAGACACGGCCCAGACUCCUACGGGAGGCAGCAGUGGGGAAUAUUGCACAAUGGGGGAAACCCUGAUGCAGCGACGCCGCGUGGAGGAAGAAGGUCUUCGGAUUGUAAACUCCUGUUGUUGAGGAAGAUAAUGACGGUACUCAACAAGGAAGUGACGGCUAACUACGUGCCAGCAGCCGCGGUAAAACGUAGGUCACAAGCGUUGUCCGGAAUUACUGGGUGUAAAGGGAGCGCAGGCGGGAAGACAAGUUGGAAGUGAAAUCCAUGGGCUCAACCCAUGAACUGCUUUCAAAACUGUUUUUCUUGAGUAGUGCAGAGGUAGGCGGAAUUCCCGGUGUAGCGGUGGAAUGCGUAGAUAUCGGGAGGAACACCAGUGGCGAAGGCGGCCUACUGGGCACCAACUGACGCUGAGGCUCGAAAGUGUGGGUAGCAAACAGGGAUUAGAUACCCUGGUAGUCCACACUGUAAACGAUGAUUACUAGGUGUUGGAGGAUUGACCCUUUCAGUGCCGCAGUUAACACAAUAAGUAAUCCACCUGGGGAGUACGACCGCAAGGUUGAAACUCAAAGGAAUUGACGGGGGCCCGCACAAGCAGUGGAGUAUGUGGUUUAAUUCGACGCAACGCGAAGAACCUUACCAAGUCUUGACAUCCUGCGACGCACAUAGAAAUAUGUGUUUCCUUCGGGACGCAGAGACAGGUGGUGCAUGGUUGUCGUCAGCCCGUGUCGUGAGAUGUUGGGUUAAGUCCCGCAACGAGCGCAACCCUUAUGGUCAGUUACUACGCAAGAGGACUCUGGCCAGACUGCCGUUGACAAAACGGAGGAAGGCGGGGAUGACGUCAAAUCAUCAUGCCCCUUAUGACUUGGGCUACACACGUGCUACAAUGGCGUAAACAAAGGGAAGCAGCCCUGUGAAGGUGAGCAAAUCCCAAAAAUAACGUCUCAGUUCGGAUUGUAGUCUGCAACUCGACUACAUGAAGCUGGAAUCGCUAGUAAUCGCGAAUCAGAAUGUCGCGGUGAAUACGUUCCCGGGUCUUGCACACACCGCCCGUCA